UCCGGGUGUCCGCAUAACUCUUCUGCCUACUCUGAGCCGUCUGAAUGUUCUUUCUGAUUUUAACUAUUUUAGGCGUGGUCUCCUCUACCAACUCCAGGCCGAACAAUCUUCUAUCACCUACUUUUUCUCAACAAAUCGGUGAUUUGCAUGGGCGCCCAUAUAACGCCUCAUAUGGAGCCAUGCCGAUGCUCACUUGGUAGU
rnacentral:lncRNA from 1 species